CACUGCCAUCUUCUUAGCUGGGUGAGGUGGAACCUGGGUGUUGACGAGAAGGAACAAAGUUAAGAGGCUACAUCAGCUAAAAUGUCUGACAGCUUACUAAACGGGUUGUCUUACGAUGUCUGUGAACCAAUUAGAGAGCGUGUAGCUGAUGCAUGGCCUGCCCUUUGGCCAAUGAACGAGAGAACCAAUUACAUGGAGAUACAUUUGUGUAUCACCAGCCUUUCAAGAUACAGCAGUGUCCUGUACAUGCUUCAGAGAACUGCCCUGUCAGCAGGA
rnacentral:lncRNA from 1 species